rnacentral:lncRNA from 1 species
AUGCAGGUGCAGGGUGGAGGUGUUGGACAAAGGAGGAGGAGGAGGGCUGGCAGAAGAGGUGUUUCACUGCCCCCUGAAAUUACAGGGCUCAUGAUGAGAGACAGCUCCUGGCUCAGGUCUCAGUCCCUGGAUAGGAGAAGGCUGUCAGUGAAGGCUUUCCAGUGCCAGAAGAGAAUCACAAGAGAAGAGAAAUGUUGUGUUUGUCCCUCCCCAGUGAUGGCUGCAGGAGAGCAGAGGAUCCAGUAGAGAAGAGGACACUCUGAUUCUGGAGAGGCAGCAGACAUUUGAGAAGGCUGAACUGAAGUGCAAACUGACCAAUAUAUUAAAGCAGCAGAAGCUGCAGGGGAGCCAAAUUCCUACAGAAGUGAAGACAUAAGAG